rnacentral:rRNA from 1 species
AGGGAAGAACAUAUGUGUAAGUAACUGUGCACAUCUUGACGGUACCUAAUCAGAAAGCCACGGCAAACUACGUGCCAGCAGCCGCGGUAAUACGUAGGUGGCAAGAGUUAUCCGGAAUUAUUGGGCGUAAAGCGCGCGUAGGCGGUUUUUUAAGUCUGAUGUGAAAGCCCACUGCUCAACCGUGGAGGGUCAUUGGAAACUGGAAAACUUGAGUGCAGAAGAGGAAAGUGGAAUUCCAUGUGUAUCGGUGAAAUGAGCAGAGAUAUGGAGGAACACCAGUGGAGAAGGCGACUUUCUGGUCUGUAACUG